GACGAACGCUGGCGGCGUGCUUAACACAUGCAAGUCGAACGGAAAGGCCCUGCUUUUGUGGGGUGCUCGAGUGGCGAACGGGUGAGUAACACGUGAGUAACCUGCCCUUGACUUUGGGAUAACUUCAUGAAACUGGGGCUAAUACCGGAUAGGAGCUCCUGCUGCAUGGUGGGGGUUGGAAAGUUUCGGCGGUUGGGGAUGGACUCGCGGCUUAUCAGCUUGUUGGUGGGGUAGUGGCUUACCAAGGCUUUGACGGGUAGCCGGCCUGAGAGGGUGACCGGCCACAUUGGGACUGAGAUACGGCCCAGACUCCUACGGGAGGAAGCAGUGGGGAAUAUUGCACAAUGGGCGGAAGCCUGAUGCAGCAACGCCGCGUGCGGGAUGACGGCCUUCGGGUUGUAAACCGCUUUCGCCUGUGACGAAGCGUGAGUGAAGGUAAUGGGUAAAGAAGCACCGGCUAACUACGUG
rnacentral:rRNA from 1 species